rnacentral:rRNA from 1 species
CCUACGGGCGGCAGCAGUGAGGAAUAUUGGUCAAUGGACGAGAGUCUGAACCAGCCAAGUAGCGUGAAGGAUAACUGCCCUAUGGGUUGUAAACUUCUUUUAUAUGGGAAUAAAAUGUUCCACGUGUGGGAUUUUGUAUGUACCAUAUGAAUAAGGAUCGGCUAACUCCGUGCCAGCAGCCGCGGUAAUACGGAGGAUCCGAGCGUUAUCCGGAUUUAUUGGGUUUAAAGGGAGCGUAGGUGGAUUGUUAAGUCAGUUGUGAAAGUUUGCGGCUCAACCGUAAAAUUGCAGUUGAAACUGGCAGUCUUGAGUACAGUAGAGGUGGGCGGAAUGCGUGGUGUAGCGGUGAAAUGCUUAGAUAUCACGAAGAACUCCGAUUGCGAAGGCAGUUCACUGGACUGCAACUGACACUGAGGCUCGAAAGUGUGGGUAUCAAACAGGAUUAGAUACCCGUGUAGUC